rnacentral:rRNA from 1 species
UACAGAGGGCUCAAGCGUUGUUCGGAUUCAUUGGGCGUAAAGGGUGCGUAGGUGGCGUCGUAAGUCAGGUGUGAAAUCUCGGGGCUCAACCCCGAAACUGCACUUGAUACUGCGAUGCUCGAGUACUGGAGAGGAGAUUGGAAUUUACGGUGUAGCAGUGAAAUGCGUAGAUAUCGUAAGGAAGACCAGUGGCGAAGGCGGGUCUCUGGACAGUUACUGACACUGAGGAACGAAGGCCAGGGGAGCGAACGGG